UACGUAGGGUCCGAGCGUUGUCCGGAAUUACUGGGCGCAAAGAGCUCGUAGGUGGUUUGUCGCGUUGUUCGUGAAAACUCACAGCUCAACUGUGGGCGUGCGGGCGAUACGGGCAGACUGGAGUACUGCAGGGGAGACUGGAAUUCCUGGUGUAGCGGUGGAAUGCGCAGAUAUCAGGAGGAACACCGGUGGCGAAGGCGGGUCUCUGGGCAGUAACUGACGCUGAGGAGCGAAAGCGUGGGGAGCGAACAGG
rnacentral:rRNA from 1 species